rnacentral:rRNA from 1 species
UACGGAGGGGGCAAGCGUUGUUCGGAAUUACUGGGCGUAAAGGGUGCGUAGGCGGCCGUGCAAGUCUGGCGUGAAAGCCCCGGGCUCAGCCCGGGAAGUGCGCUCGAAACUGCGCGGCUCGAGUGCCGGAGGGGAGAGUGGAAUUCCUGGUGUAGCGGUGAAAUGCGUAGAUAUCAGGAGGAAUACCGGUGGCGAAAGCGACUCUCUGGACGGCAACUGACGCUGAGGCACGAAAGCGUGGGGAGCAAACAGG